ensembl:lncRNA
AAACGCUGAAGCUGAAGGCUGGGCUUGCACAAAGACGCUCUGGUCUGUGCACCAGGAAGUGGCCUGUCUCAGGGUUUCACCUCAGCUGGGUUCCAAAAACCCAGUACUCUUAUUCUGAUCAUUCCUUCUCCUUGGUGGGAGAGGUGGGAAUUGAAUGUCUCAGACGAGAUGCUCUUCCUGCAGUAAGUUCUGGGUUUGACCUCGAAUCCCUAGGGAAUAGCAGACUGCCCCUCCUCUGCACACUUCGUUGUUGGUGCGGUCCUUUGCCAUCUGUGGCAGCCCUGUGCGCAUGACUUGCACUUUUAAAUUUGUGUAAUUUGUUUUAGAUGGCAUUUGAGCCAUCCUACUGAAGCGCCUCGAUGACGUGUCUCAGGCAGGACAAGCACUUUGGAUAAAUACCUUUGGUUUUGGGAGAAAAUGGCCCAAGCGUGUGGAGAUGGCUCUCACGCCUUCUGCUUUUUCAGCCUUUACAACUUUCACAAGGAAGUGUGGCAGCCAGGGCUGUGGACUAUAUACACCCAUCCAGAACAGCAGGUGCCCAGGCAGUCUGGUGACUCCUGGGGAAUGACCUGGCCUGCCUUACUGUGAAUUCAACAGCACUGUUAUUAAACCUCCUGCGUGAGCCGUCCUUGUAGAGCACUGCAGAGCUAAGAGAAAAUGUCUCAUACCCAAGAGUCACCAAGGAAAACGUUCUACAAGUGAAUGUCUUCUGUGUUGCCCAUGUUUCACGAAUGCAACACAGGGAUCAGGAAGCUGAGGCCCUCCUGCUGCUCCUAGCACCAGCCAGAAUGCUAAUGGGCAGGGAUGAUGGGAGUUGUAGUCCAUCAAUUCCUCGUUCCCCACCCUUGUUCUAAAAGAUGUCGAUGGGAGAAAACAGUGGCGUGGAAGUUUAUUUACACAUACCCCAAUUCUGCGUAGGGCUGAAAGCAUAAGAUUUGAUGCUCAUCCCUUGUGGGGAUUUAUCACCUCUUCAAUCCUCAUCAAAGGAUCAUUCCGGCAAUUUGAGAAGAACCAUCCACAACAGGCUCCAGGCCCUAUCAGUGCUUCGUGGUCAUCAUUUCUGCAUGGUCCUGCGAGGUCCUAAAAUGCCCCCACCUCUUCACCAGACCCUUUUUAAAGAGCUCAGGACAUCCCUCACACCACAGCAAAGGAAUGGGCUGCCAAGAUAUCUCAAACAGCAAGAGUUUGGCAGAAUGCAACUACCCACCCCACCAAUAAUCUGGUACUUGGGAUCUUCCUGGUCUCUUCUUUGCUCUCCUUGCCAGCUUCUCACAGCCACCUUCACCUUCCCUCUUCCCUUCCCCAGGCCACAACUUUCCUGCACAAACAUCACUGGGCGAGUGGGUUUGCAGGAGGACUCCCGCAGACAUGUCCCACUCCUCUCAACCUGGUUUGGGCAGCAGCGAUUUCCCUGUGGCUACAGCCCUUUUCGCAAACUUAACUCUGCCAAUUCGGACUUGUUUCUCUACUUGUACAUUUGCACUUUCUGUGCAAAGCUUUCCAUUUCUGCAUACAGGCCAACUUUCCCCAUCAAUAAAACUUCACCAGAACCUCUCCUAAGACCAUCUCAUCACUCAAACAGGCCUCAUAGUAGCAGCGGGAGCUUUCUGCAUUCCCAUGAAGCCUGUGAGUUGGGAGCUGCUGCUAUAAGCCACAAUGAUUUGGGGGAGUCACUUGCUUGUGGGCUCAAUUCCAGUGCAUGUAGACCUUUGGCAGAAUUCCACCCCCCCCCCAGCAUCAGGCCCUGGGUUAUGCUUCUAAAAUGGCCCAAAUUCUGCAAUCGGUAGGAAGGACACAGCUGUUGGGGUUUGCUUUAUCGGUGUACGUGAUUCUACUGCAGAAUCCCUGGGAUUCUUUCCCUGGGAAAGAAGGAAGAACUCACUAAGGGGAACGGUGACGUCUUGGCUUGCCGUCCUGCUAAGGGACCAGGGGCAAGACAUUGGACAUCUCCUCUGAAACACAGAUUCUCAAAAUGCAAACGUUUAUGGCAGAGCUUUCCAAACGGUGUGUUGUGACACGUUAAGUGUGCCGGCUGCAGUGUGUAAUGAUAAUAAUAAUUUUAUUAUUUAUACCCCGCCCAUCCAACCGGGUCUCCCCAGCCACUCUGGGCGGCUCCCAGCAGGAGGACUAAAAAAGGAAUAAAACUUCAAACAUUAAAAACUUCCCUAAACAUAGGUAUAGAUGUCGCACGACUGCUCCGGGGCUGGAAAGGGGUUAGUUUAGGCUUGCUGGUCAAAAGUAAAGGUAAAAGUAAGUCCGCCCAUAUGGGCAGUCUUGCCAGACUCUGGGUGUGUGCCAUCU